UCGAACAGUUAGAAAGGGGAAGAUCGAAGGAGUGGAUGGAUGAUGCUUGGGACAGUUGCUGGCGGAUUUGCAUCUGCAUGUGCACGUUCUGUCAUUCUACUUUUUCUGUCGGCCCUUUUCGAUUUCAAUUCACACCUGUGCACCCAUCGUAGGUCUUCGAAAGAAGAUCUAUGUCUUUUAUAACACUGCUUUGUAUGGCCAUAGAGUGUAAAAAUCUAUUA
rnacentral:misc_RNA from 1 species